rnacentral:misc_RNA from 1 species
CACUGCGCGGCAGGUGCAGCACACGCGCCCUGCCACCCUUCCCUCUCUCUAUGACGAACAAAAUGAAGCGCCGACUGCCCACUAACACGGCACUGCACCCGCCUGACCCCUCUGCCCUCCCUUAACACUCCGCCAUCGCACCACGGCGAUGCACGUGACCUGCCUGUGCGCCGCUGCGUCGGCGUUCUACAUCCCGAUGAUGAGGUUCGUGAGCGCGAGCGCGCGGAGGGCUUCGGGCCCGAAGAUCCGGUCGAUGAACUUCGAAAACCCCGGCUGAUUGUGACAGAAAAGGGCGUCCGCGGGUCCGGGCUGCUGGACGCCGUGGUUGCGACGCUAAGGAAGGACGCUGGAACCACAAGCAUGACAGUGCUCGGCGACGUGCAGCCGAACUCAACAGUGGCAAGCGUCUACAACGGGCGGAGGGUAUUGAACGAGAGCGGGUGCGACUCGAUCAUCGGCCUCAGCGGCGUCUCUUCGCGGGACUCUGCGCCAUGUCAUUGCGCUGGUCGCACGCAUACAAGCACUCGCAACCAGCAGAGACACGCGCCACGACGAGUAUGGGCACCCUAAAGCAUGUGAGAGCCGAAAGGCGGCAAGAACGGGGAUGGAGAGUCCGUGAGCAAGACGAACAAAGAAGGCGGCGAAGGCAAGCAAGCUGUAGGGAGUGCCGCCUCUAAUCUUAUCGACAGGGGGGGGUGACACGAUUGCGCGCCUCAUGCUGGUAAAAUGGCAUGUCGUGGCAAGGUGGGUGGGUGGGUGCGUCGGCGGGCCCUCCAGCACCCCGUCAACCUGGGUUUUGCCCUCUUGUGCUCCAAAAUCUCCGAGUGGUGUGUUGGUGGUGGUGGUGAAGCGAGAGGCCAGAGAUCGCGCACACGCGUUUAGGCUUUUGUGCAGGGUGGGCAAGCGGCAGCCGCCGAGAAAACGCAUCAUGGCGUUUUCUUAGGGUCCAGGGGACAAGGCCGUGAACUGCGGCCGCAUGAUCCAGCCACUCCCCCUACCUUCUUUCUCUCCCUUGCCUGCAUGACCUCUUGCGUCUAUCCUGUCCUCUGCUUGCCCAGCAUGACAGCGGCAGUGCACGCGCCUCUCGGCUCGGUACAGUUUCUCCUCCCCUCUUUGUGAACAUGCCCCGUCAGCAGCAUGACGGUGGCAAACACAGCAUCGCCAACGGUAGUAGGGUAGAGAAGGCGAAGGAGCCGGCCGGCCGUGCGUGCGUGCGUGAGGGGGGUGGGUGGGUGGGCGGGUGAUGCCCUCGUCGGUGCUUGCUGCUGUCUGAUUGCCUGCCGUGCCCUUGUGUUACACCGUCAGCGCGUUAGCGUAGCGUGCUGUGUUCAUCCCUCUUUCGAUCCAGGAAGGGUUGCGUCUGCCUGGCCGCGGAGCACUGAAGGGCCUGCUGUUUCUUUCUCCCCCUCCCUCAUUCCCUACGGACACUGGAGUCCAUGAAGGACACUUGUGUGCCUUGACGACCAUUGGACCCGCCAUGUGCGUGCCUGUCUGCGUGUCGGGGUUGUGCGUGACGCCUCGUUUCCUUUUCGGUGUCUGUGUACAUCGACAGCGUGAAACGUUGCGUCGUCCCAUCUGGGUGGCCCUCUUGGUGCACGCGCUUACUUGCGUGAGGGGAUGGCGCACAUGAUCCGUUUGGCUUCUCACAGCUUCGUACCGCCGUCUCUCCCACAUCCUGCUCUGCGUUCUGAAGCACUGUGAUGCGUACAAGCGGGGUGGGGUGGAUAUUCCAGUCCGAGCUGAUGGUAUUUUGGCUCCUUACGCUCGCACUGGUCAUGAUCCGGCAGAAGGAUGGCUUGUGCACGCGAUCAUCUGAGGCAAC